AGGGAAUCUUCCGUAAUGGACGAAAGUCUGACGGAGCAACGCCGCGUGAGUGAUGAAGGUUUUCGGAUCGUAAAGCUCUGUUGCCAGGGAAGAACGUCUUAGAGAGUAACUGCUCUAAGAGUGACGGUACCUGAGAAGAAAGCCCCGGCUAACUACGUGCCAGCAGCCGCGGUAAUACGUAGGGGGCGAGCGUUGUCCGGAAUUAUUGGGCGUAAAGCGCGCGCAGGCGGCUGUUUAAGUCUGGUGGUUAAUCCUGGGGCUCAACCCCGGGUCGCACUGGAAACUGGGCAGCUUGAGUGCAGAAGAGGAGAGUGGAAUUCCACGUGUAGCGGUGAAAUGCGUAGAGAUGUGGAGGAACACCAGUGGCGAAGGCGACUCUCUGGUCUGUAACUGACGCUGAGGCGCGAAAGCGUGGGGAGCAAAC
rnacentral:rRNA from 1 species